rnacentral:rRNA from 1 species
GACGAACGCUGGCGGCGUGCUUAACACAUGCAAGUCGAGCGGUAAGGCCCUUCGGGUACACGAGCGGCGAACGGGUGAGUAACACGUGGGUGACCUGCCUCUAGCUCUGGGAUAAGCCUGGGAAACUGGGUCUAAUACCGGAUAUGACUCCACGGCGCAUGUUGUGGGGUGGAAAGCCUUGUGUGGCUAGAGAUGGGCCCGCGGCCUAUCAGCUUGUUGGUGGGGNGAUGGCCUACCAAGGCGACGACGGGUAGCCGGCCUGAGAGGGCGACCGGCCACACUGGGACUGAGACACGGCCCAGACUCCUACGGGAGGCAGCAGUGGGGAAUCUUGCGCAAUGGGCGAAAGCCUGACGCAGCGACGCCGCGUGAGGGAUGACGGCCUGGUGUAAC